AUCUAACAAUUUAAAUUUUUAGAUCAAACAAUUCAACUGUUUGUAUGUACAUAUAAAUCAGCUAGCAUCCAGCUCAAAUCUGCAUCCCCUAGACUUGAAUGUCGAACCCUACUUUUCUAUGGAGUGAAUUUUGACUUUUGUUUUGAUCUCAACACGCCCAGAAGAGGAGGAAAGGAUUCCUUUAGAGUUUGCAGCCAUAAAAAGUAGGGUUUUGCUAU
rnacentral:lncRNA from 1 species